GGGGAGGUUGGUAAGGAAUUCUUUGUUCUGACCCACCUAUGAAGGCAUAAUAGAGGGAGGCAGGAGGCAGAUCUUGGGCUCCCCCUAGAGGCGUGUGUGCACUCAUUCACCAAACACGGCGCCCCUAUCCGCUCUGGACACUGCCAGGUGCUGGAGGUGCAGCGCUGAGCAAGGGAUGAGGCCCCUGUCUCAUGGAGUGCGAGCUUCUCGCUAGAGGAGGCAAACAUGAAACACACUUAGACUCAGACCAAAGGAAGUUCCAGGGUGCUGUGUAGAGCCAGCUCUCCAAAGGACCUGAGCUCCCUGCUGCUGCCUUUAAACUGGGAGCCUGGGAAGAGCCAGCUGGGACUCGGAGCUACGCCAGUGGUCAGCCCAGCCACCAAGGCCAAGCUUGUAAGUCACAGAAUGGUAAGCCUGGAAAAGACCCUAGAGACCCCCAAAUCCCAUUUGUUCGUUUCACAGAUGAGGAAUCUAAAGCCCAAAAAGAGGAAAAGGCAUCAUCCGUAUGAGAGUAGCUGGUGUUUAUGGAGCAUCUGGGGGCUCCUGAUGCUUGGGUAGAAGUAAGACACCCCCCUCCUACCACAAUGAGGGGUUUCCCCGCCAGCCCUUAUGCCCCAGAGCACCUAGGGUCUCCCAGGACUAUAAGCAACCCUCUUGCAGCUCAAUUCUUCCCACACCCUCACCCCACAGAAAAGGCUUGGAAGCUGUGGGCCCUUCAUGUGGGGCUGAAGUCUUAAGACCUGGAGAGCAGCCCCAAGGGUGGAGAAGCGGCUGCUGAAGGGAUCAGCAUGCGCUGGCACAGGAAGUCUGUUUUCCAUGUGUCUGGAACCCAGCCGAAGCUUCCUGGGGUAAUUUUAACCAGUAUCCACUCUAGAACAAUACCAAAAAAGCAAGACUGUGUUGGGCUGGAGGAAAGGCAGUAAUCAACUUCAUGUUCCACGUGAGGAAACUGAAGAUCAUGGAAGGCAAGUCGAGAGCCCCAAGGUUAUCCGGCUUCAAGGUCACCAGUCACCCAGCUUCCUUCUUUCAUGUAGCCAGAUGCCCAUCCCAGUACUAGGUUGCACUGUGGGGAUUGUGGAGUAGCCCUCUACCACCUAGGGCCCUCAUGUGUUUCCUUUAUUUGAGACAGGGUCUCACUCUGUCGCCCAGGGUGGAAGUGGCCCAGUCACAGCUUACUGCAGCAUCAGCCUCCCCAGGCUCAAGUGAUUAAGGCCUCCCUCUGCCUGCCCCACCCCCACUGUGUUUAUAUUGUUGGGAAACUUAAUCCACGGAAAUAAAGUGUGGAUUAUUUUU